CAGCAAUGGAACCAUCAGCCGUUACUGUGAAGGUGUGAUCUUGGAACAAACACACGCCGUUAUCAGCAAAUGGAAAACACCUGACUCAAAACCAAACAACAACAACAAAAAAGGGAAAUGUACUCACAGGUCUCCGGGCAAAUCUGGAUUGUGGAUUGAAAGCAAGAGGAACGAUGGGGAUGGAUGUUGUUCUGGAGCGGCUGCACGGCUGAGGUGGGAGGCUGGAACUGGAAGCCGGGGGAUGCUUUCCAUGUGCAUCUGGAAUGAAAUGUAGGGAUGGGUGAGAUGUGGGUCCUGGCAGCCCGUGCCCUGGGGAAACCUCCAUCCAUGGGGUCCUGGUCCCCAUAGUGCCACCACUGGAGGCUGUGGGUGGUGAUGGCGGUGCGGUUGGUCUUUAUUCACUGGAUUGUGGAGGGAGAAUAACUGGGACAGAUAAUGACUUGCACCUUUUGGUAGCCAUGUCCAUCUUUAUGAUAAGCAGCAAUCACUGUGUGCAGGUAGGGCGCUCCAUCUCUGCUCCGCAAAGAGCUGUUCUCCCCGGAGCAGGAAUCUAAUUGGGCUCUGAUAGAGAGCAGAACGCACCUGAAAGCUGCACAGAGCACUGCUUCCCUCAGCAGACAGCCUCUGCAUUUUGAAUGCAGCCUCACAACACACGCGGCGUGUACUCUCAUCUCUAACACUU
ensembl:lncRNA